UACGUAGGGUGCGAGCGUUAAUCGGAAUUACUGGGCGUAAAGCGUGCGCAGGCGGCGCGUUAAGACAGGUGUGAAAGCCCCCGAGCUUAACUUGGGAAUUGCGCUUGUGACUGGCGUGCUGGAGUGUGGCAGAGGGAGGUGGAAUUCCACGUGUAGCAGUGAAAUGCGUAGAGAUGUGGAGGAACACCGAUGGCGAAGGCAGCCUCCUGGGCCAGCACUGACGCUCAUGCACGAAGCGUGGG
rnacentral:rRNA from 1 species